GUGCAAAUGGAAAUGAAAUUGUGUUUACAAUGUGCACACUGUGCACACUUCAAACUAGUCACUGGAUUCGCCAAAGUUUACCAGUGACCUGACAGCGUAUCGCUGACCUCGUCUCAUGUUUAUCAUCUAACUUUUCACUCUACGAAGCGCCAUCCGGCCGUCUGUCUCCUCUGGGUCUGCUGGGCGGAGAAAAGCUCCGACCGCACCUAUGGAAGCAGAGAGAGAUGGAGCUCGUCUGAAUAUUCAUGCCCUGGGCCCUCAGCACCACCCGAACCCCCCUAAAAUCCUCGGCGCUCUACCCCAGCGACGUGCUCCAGGUUAAGGCCAACUCCAAAAGAGACACAGGCAGGAGAGAAGAACGAAUUAGUGAGAGAGAAGAAGUCACGGAUGAAGUUGUUGCUAGCAUCUUAACGGGGGAUGACAAAGACAUGGUUUCGGUGAAUAAUGACCCGGGCUGCAUCGCAUGUACUGGUAAAGCAAAGCCUGGGGGUUUAUUAACAUCUCGGACCCCUGUCAAUCACGCGAAGGCCCGUCCCAGUGCCCAAUUAUCUUUGAAGCCGGGGCCUCUGGGUCUGGACGUGAUCAAUGAGUGCGCUCCAUCGUCGAUACGGGUGCAGAAGAAGACCUAUUGAUCAGCCAACACUUGUGGACAGCCGCUGCGAGCCGGAUAAUGUCAGAUUGAACCAGCGGAAGGUGUGUGUGUGUGUGUGUGUGUGUGUGUGUGUGUGUGUGUGUGUGUGUGUGUGUGUGUGUGUGUUGUGCAUUGGAAAAGUGAUUCUUUUGUUGAAGCUGAGAGCAGGUGCUCACAUGGAAGGAAUAGGUUCAGAUAAGAACUUUAUGUCUUCAGUAACUUGUGGUUGAAGCAUCACGGUUUGAUAUUGUUUUUAUUAGGGCUGGGCGAUAUAUCUAACGAUAUGAUCAUGCGCAUCUAGUCAGUAAAUCUGGUUCCUUGAUUAGCGCUAAAUCGCCAUCACCUGCUUUCAAAUGGAGCGGCAUUUAAUAGACAGAGCCGUAGAUCACUGACAAGGUACGCAAUAUCGCGUUGAUUAUCGAAGGCGAUUCAUCUGGGAUAAUGAACGCGAUAUUGCGUACCUUGUCAGUGAUCUACGGCUCUGUCUAUUAAAUGCCGCUCCAUUUGAAAGCAGGUGAUGGCGAUUUAGCGCUAAUCAAGGAACCAGAUUUACUGACUAGAUGCGCAUGAUCAUAUCGUUAGAUAUAUCGCCCAGCCCUAGUUUUUAUUAGUCUUAGUGAUUUCAUCCAACUCGUAAACUAUGAAACUUUGAAACUAUAAAACUAGCAAAGAAAGUUAGAAAGUGUGUUUUAGCAUGGAUGCAAAAAAAGAGCUAUUUAUGUUUGAAUUUUUACAUCACUUGUAUAAUGAUUUUAAAAAGCAUGUGUUAGUAGUGGGUGAGACAGAGCAUUUCGAAACUCCCAAUCAGUUAAACGUUGGAAAAUGAUUCACUGUCUGGAAGCGAUCCAAUCAGAUCGCGUACCACAAGUCACUGGAUUCAGCUUGGGACUUCAAAUCGUGUAUCAUUUGAUUUAGAUCGGAACUUAGGAGCAGGUUCGUGAAUCUUUUGAUUCAGAAUCAGGACGGAGCGCAUAUCACAAAUCUUUUUUCUGAAUCCUUUUUUUUUUUUUUUUUUUUUUUUUUUAUUAAACAGAACAAACAUCAAACCAUUAAUGCAAUACAGUUAUAAAAACAAAAAAGAAAGAAAGAAUACACAAAUAUAAAUCCCUUAAGAAAAUUAACCAUGGUUACAUUAUAGUAAAAGUGUAAUAGGCUUUUUUAUAACCCAGUUUUACUAAAUACCAUGGUUAAACUAUGGUUAGUGUAGUAAAACCAUGGUUAAUUUGUGGUUACCAUGUUUUAACUAUAGUAACCAUGUUUUGAAUAGAGAUUUUAGAGAUUUUGAACAUAGAGAUGCCAUUUUCACUGCUUUAGGAUUAACAUGGCUUUGGAUAUGUUUCCAUGUUGUAACUUUGAAAAACUUUGAACUUAAAAAAAAAAGAAAGAAAAGAGAAAAUUUAGAGCCAGUAUUAUUUUUGUUCAUGUACUUGAAGUUUAUCUUGCAGAAAACACAAAUUCAUUAAGUUAUAUUUUCCUGUAUUCUCUUUUUAGUAGUGAAACAAUCCAAAGAAAAGUCUUUUACAAAAUGAGACCGGAUGAACGUUGACCUGACCAGAAUUUCUGUGUGGGUUUAUUGCCAUUACAAGUGAAUGGAUUUUCCUCAGAAGAAUGACAAAAACAGCAGCUCACUUCAAUGUCUGACUUAUAAUUAUGCCUAUAAACUUUUUGUGAAAUUUGGAUUAACUCAGUCUGUUGCUUGACCUCUUUAUAUUUAAGGACAGAACUAGAUUCCAAGGUCAAGCAUUGCUUGUGAUUUUCAAGGAUGUAAAAUUUAAAAGUGACGGUGACGCUAUGACAUGUCCCUAUCAAUAUCCAGACUACUAAAUUGUCCCUAGCAAUAAAUUUGAUCAAAACAUUAAAUGUCUGUUGUCU
ensembl:lncRNA